rnacentral:rRNA from 1 species
GACGAACGCUGGCGGCGUGCUUAACAUAUGCAAGUCGAACGGAAAGGCCCUGCUUUUGUGGGGUGCUCGAGUGGCGAACGGGUGAGUAACACGUGAGUAACCUGCCCUUGACUUUGGGAUAACUUCAGGAAACUGGGGCUAAUACCGGAUAGGAGCUCCUGCUGCAUGGUGGGGGUUGGAAAGUUUCGGCGGUUGGGGAUGGACUCGCGGCUUAUCAGCUUGUUGGUGGGGUAGUGGCUUACCAAGGCUUUGACGGGUAGCCGGCCUGAGAGGGUGACCGGCCACAUUGGGACUGAGAUACGGCCCAGACUCCUACGGGAGGCAGCAGUGGGGAAUAUUGCACAAUGGGCGGAAGCCUGAUGCAGCAACGCCGCGUGCGGGAUGACGGCCUUCGGGUUGUAAACCGCUUUCGCCUGUGACGAAGCGUGAGUGACGGUAAUGGGUAAAGAAGCACCGGCUAACUACGUG